rnacentral:rRNA from 1 species
UACGAAGGGGGCGAGCGUUGUUCAGAAUUACUGGGCGUAAAGGGCGCGCAGGCGGCCCUUUAAGUCAGGCGUGAAAGCCCCGGGCUCAACCUGGGAGGUGCGCUUGAUACUCGAGGGCUUGAGUGCGGGAGAGGAGAGUGGAAUUCCCAGUGUAGAGGUGAAAUUCGUAGAUAUUGGGAAGAACACCGGUGGCGAAGGCGGCUCUCUGGACCGAUACUGACGCUGAGGCGCGAAAGCGUGGGGAGCAAACAGG